GGGGUUGUAGCUCAGUGGUAGAGCACUUGCCUGGCAUGUGUGAGUCACUAGAUUCAAUUCUCAGCACCA
rfam:Ictidomys tridecemlineatus contig001162, whole genome shotgun sequence.